AACCCUUGUCCUUAGUUACCAGCACGUUAUGGUGGGCACUCUAAGGAGACUGCCGGUGACAAACCGGAGGAAGGUGGGGAUGACGUCAAGUCAUCACUGGCCCUUACGGCCUGGGCUACACACGUGCUACAAUGGUCGGUACAAAGGGUUGCCAAGCCGCGAGGUGGAGCUAAUACCCAUAAAACCGAUCGUAGUCCGGAUCGCAGUCUGCAACUCGACUGCGUGAAGUCGGAAUCGCUAGUAAUCGUGAAUCAGAAUGUCACGGUGAAUACGUUCCCGGGCCUU
rnacentral:rRNA from 1 species